GAGUUUGAUCUUGGCUCAGGAUGAACGCUGGCGGCGUGCCUAACACAUGCAAGUCGAACGGAGAGUUUUUGAUGAAGCUUCGGCGGAAUUAAAGAUUUCUUAGUGGCGGACGGGUGAGUAACGCGUGGGUAACCUGCCUUAUACAGGGGGAUAACAGUCAGAAAUGACUGCUAAUACCGCAUAAGCGCACAGGACCGCAUGGUCCGGUGUGAAAAGCCGAGACGGUAUAAGAUGGACCCGCGUCUGAUUAGCUGGUUGGU
rnacentral:rRNA from 1 species